rnacentral:lncRNA from 1 species
ACUCAAAGGAUGAUGCCCUGGAGAUAUCUACUUCUUUCUAGCAGUAAAUUUUAAAUUCUGUAUGCACCUAUCAUGUAUGUUGCAGAGAAGAGUAGUUUGACUCCCUAGAGAGCAGUGAAGGCACUGUUUAUCUGUCGGAUGGAUCGAGCUGUGCGAUCAGAGAUAUCGAAACGGUCAGCUAGAGGACACAUGAUGGUGCAAUGAGG